CCUUUUGUAUAAUGGGUCAGCGACUUAUAUUCUGUAGCAAGGUUAACCGAAUAGGGGAGCCGAAGGGAAACCGAGUCUUAACUGGGCGUUAAGUUGCAGGGUAUAGACCCGAAACCCGGUGAUCUAGCCAUGGGCAGGUUGAAGGUUGGGUAACACUAACUGGAGGACCGAACCGACUAAUGUUGAAAAAUUAGCGGAUGACUUGUGGCUGGGGGUGAAAGGCCAAUCAAACCGGGAGAUAGCUGGUUCUCCCCGAAAGCUAUUUAGGUAGCGCCUCGUGAAUUCAUCUCCGGGGGUAGAGCACUGUUUCGGCAAGGGGGUCAUCCCGACUUACCAACCCGAUGCAAACUGCGAAUACCGGAGAAUGUUAUCACGGGAGACACACGGCGGGUGCUAACGUCCGUCGUGAAGAGGGAAACAACCCAGACCGCCAGCUAAGGUCCCAAAGUCAUGGUUAAGUGGGAAACGAUGUGGGAAGGCCCAGACAGCCAGGAUGUUGGCUUAGAAGCAGCCAUCAUUUAAAGAAAGCGUAAUAGCUCACUGGUCGAGUCGGCCUGCGCGGAAGAUGUAACGGGGCUAAACCAUGCACCGAAGCUGCGGCAGCGACGCUUAUGCGUUGUUGGGUAGGGGAGCGUUCUGUAAGCCUGCGAAGGUGUGCUGUGAGGCAUGCUGGAGGUAUCAGAAGUGCGAAUGCUGACAUAAGUAACGAUAAAGCGGGUGAAAAGCCCGCUCGCCGGAAGACCAAGGGUUCCUGUCCAACGUUAAUCGGGGCAGGGUGAGUCGACCCCUAAGGCGAGGCCGAAAGGCGUAGUCGAUGGGAAACAGGUUAAUAUUCCUGUACUUGGUGUUACUGCGAAGGGGGGACGGAGAAGGCUAUGUUGGCCGGGCGACGGUUGUCCCGGUUUAAGCGUGUAGGCUGGU
rnacentral:rRNA from 1 species